rnacentral:sRNA from 1 species
AUAAUCUUGGGAAGGCUACCAAUGGCCGCUCGAAUAGGC